GCCAGGGUGGUGAAAUGGCAGACACUCACGCCUUAAGAGCGUGUGGGAGCAAUCCCGUGCGGGUUCGAGUCCCGCCCUUGGCA
rnacentral:tRNA from 1 species